rnacentral:rRNA from 1 species
AGUGAACGCUGGCGGCGUGCCUAAUACAUGCAAGUCGAACGGAGUGGCGCACGGGUGAGUAAUAUAUAGCUAAUCUGCCCCUUGCUGGAGGACAACAGUUAGAAAUGACUGCUAAUACUCCAUAGCAAGGGAUGAGACUAUAUCGUAUCAGCUAGUCGGUGGGGUAACGGCCUACCGAGGCUAUGACGCGUAACUGGUCUGAGAGGAUGAUCAGGAACAUUGGAAGUGAGGCACGGUCCAAACUCCUACGGGAGGGGGCGGUAGGGAAUAAGGCGCAAGGGGGGAAACCCUGACGCGGCAACGCCGCGUGGAGGAUGACACUUUGCGGAGCGUAAGCUCCUUUUGUUAGGGAAGCGGUACCUAACGAAUAAGCACCGGCUAACUCCGUGCCAGCAGCCGCGGUAAUUC